rnacentral:rRNA from 1 species
UACGGGGGGAGCAAGCGUUGUUCGGAUUUACUGGGCGUAAAGGGCGCGUAGGCGGUCAGCACAAGUCAGUUGUGAAAUCUCCGGGCUUAACUCGGAACGGUCAGUUGAUACUGUCAGGCUAGAGUGCAGAAGGGGCAAUCGGAAUUCUUGGUGUAGCGGUGAAAUGCGUAGAUAUCAAGAGGAACACCUGAGGUGAAGACGGGUUGCUGGGCUGACACUGACGCUGAGGCGCGAAAGCCAGGGGAGCAAACGGG